CCUACGGGUGGCAGCAGUGGGGAAUAUUGCACAAUGGGGGAAACCCUGAUGCAGCGACGCCGCGUGAAGGAAGAAGUAUUUCGGUAUGUAAACUUCUAUCAGCAGGGAAGAAAAUGACGGUACCUGACUAAGAUGCCCCGGCUAACUACGUGCCAGCACCCGCGGUAAUAUGCAGGGGGCAAGCGUUAUCCGGAUUUACUGGGUGUGAAGGGAGCGUAGGCGGUUUAGAAAGGCAGAAGUGAAAGCCCGGGGCUCAACUCCGAGACUGCUUUUGAAACUGUUGAACUAGAUUGCAGGAGAGGCAAGCGGAAUUCCUUGGGUAGCGGUGAAAUGCGUAGAUAUAAGGAAGAACACCAGUGGCGAAGGCGGGCUGCUGAACAGCAACUGACGGUGAGGCGCGAAAGCGUGGGGAGCAAACAGGAUUAGAUACCCCAGUAGUC
rnacentral:rRNA from 1 species